CCUGAAAUAAGCAUCCAAGUUUACAAAAAUUACCUCCUGCCACAUGACCCCUCCUCAUUCUCCCAACUCAGCACCUGACAUCUCUCUCCGUAUAUAUGUGAAGAUUUUAUUUAAUCCAUCUGUCGGGAAAUAACAGUAAAAGGAGACAGAACUGAAAGGGUCAGUCUCUCAGACGGACAUGAAGGGAGUCCAGGAUGUUUAGAAGGAUGUGAAAGGAUUCAGGGGUUGGUACUGACCAGCAAUAGAAGUGGCUUCCUCUGAUUCUCACUAAACCGAGGACAGUCAUUGUAACAAUCAACGAGACAUACUGAGCACAGGAAUGAAGUGCUAUGGCUGUUGGCACCAGAUGUUGAAGAUCAAUUAAGUCACCAAAAAUGUAUGCUGCAGAUCCACACAUGUUAUGCCCCAAAAUAGAGACUUCUUCCAAACCAUCGCCAUGUGAACAUGCAUCUCUUGAAUAUUUUAUAUUUUGGUUCAGUAUCUAAAGUGAAACAUCAUUAAACUAGCUGCUCAGUCAGACAUUAAGAAUAACACACUGAUAAGGCACCAAAAUAAAGCCA